UCCACGGUUCCCCAGGUGACAGAGGCCCACCGGGGGUGGGAGUUCCUGGCCGAACAGGCUCCCAAGGACCCGCUGGAGAGCCGGGUAUUCAGGGUCCUCGAGGUCUCCCUGGAUUGCCAGGGACUCCAGGGACCCCAGGGAAUGAUG